GACGAACGCUGGCGGCGUGCUUAACACAUGCAAGUCGAACGGAAAGGCCCUGCUUGCAGGGUACUCGAGUGGCGAACGGGUGAGUAACACGUGGGUGAUCUGCCCUGCACUUCGGGAUAAGCCUGGGAAACUGGGUCUAAUACCGGAUAGGAGCCAUUUUUAGUGUGAUGGUUGGAAAGUUUUUUCGGUGUAGGAUGAGCUCGCGGCCUAUCAGCUUGUUGGUGGGGUAAUGGCCUACCAAGGCGGCGACGGGUAGCCGGCCUGAGAGGGUGGACGGCCACAUUGGGACUGAGAUACGGCCCAGACUCCUACGGGAGGCAGCAGUGGGGAAUAUUGCACAAUGGGCGCAAGCCUGAUCCAGCGACGCCGCGUGGGGGAUGACGGCCUUCGGGUUGUAAACUCCUUUCGCUAGGGACGAAGCUUUUUGUGACGGUACCUAGAUAAGAAGCACCGGCUAACUACGUG
rnacentral:rRNA from 1 species